AUCUACUAGUGAUUCAUAUUUCAAUGGUGUAUAGACCUUGUGCAUGUGACCAUCCUUUGUUCUAAAAUUAAGUCUGUCCCUUCUCUGUCUUUAUUUUGUAAACUAUCAGUUCAUAAGGAUUUAGGGAAAGAUAAAAGCUCCUGUAAAUUAUUAUGGUUUCACAGUGCUAAGGAAUGCAGAACAGAACUUUCCUGGUCUUUUUUUUUUUAACACAUUCUACUCCUAAAUCCUACACUUAGAUGUAUUGUAAGCUUUGCAUGCAGACCAGACCAUGAACUAGUUUAACUAGAGUUAUUUUGGCAUCAAUUUAGUGGCUGUGCUGUGAAACUGUCAGGUGGACACAUUGAGAAACAAGGUGUAAACACUACAUUAGCACAUUAACACAGAGUUUUAAAGGUAUUUAGUUAAGUAGGAGUAGAAAGGGGUCUAGAUGAGCCAGCAAAAGCUUUGUGCAUAGACUAGUUUUUCCUUUUGUCUGGAUUUUGCUUGUAUAGGAACUUUGCUUAAUUCUGUAUCAGAUGACUGGUGUAAGUAUAUGCUUGUCCCAGCAAAGGCAGAUUUACCUUGAAGUGUCUGAAAUAAGUGUCCUAGUAUGCUUCCCUCCUACAGUAGUAGUAAAGAUAAAAAUCCAGCUCUCUGUCAGCUGACUUACACACUGUUUCCUAGCUGACUUACAUGGUAUUUCUUUUACACUUAAGUGUAAUAUAUUAAUUCCUUUGACAAUCAAUAACUAUGUAUUUCAAGAAAUAAUUACUUUCCCCUAGAUGGGUAUGUUCUAAAGCCUUUGCAAAAUAUCUACAAGGGAAAAAGCUCGUUAGUGUGUUUGAACUUCUAAAGAAAUUGAAUGAAGAGUCCACAAUAAGAUGAAAACGUAUACAGAAGGAUAGAAUGUUACCCACGUAAGUUCAAUCAUACUUGUGUUCAUUAUGAAACCUGAUUAUUUUUUCCUAAUAAAAAUAAUAUGGAUAAGUAAGAUCUGCAAUUUUUCUCAAGGAAUAUGUGCAGAAUCUUUAAAGAUUCAGUGGUGCUUAGUAUGUCAAAAUGCUGGAGCAGCUGUAAGAUCAGAACCCAAAGGCAAACAAGCAAGGAUGCAGCAUCCAGGAAGGUGAUUAAGGCGAAAUAAAAGGUGUUUAUGGGUUUCAUUGUAGUUGCUAUUUAAAUAAUCCUAUCUGAACUUCACCACUCUACAAAAAAAAAUAAUCAAGUCUUGCAGGUUACUUGUACUUAUGCAACUGGAAAACAGAAUCUAUCAGUUGAGCCAGGUCCUUGGCACUACUCCAAUAGUUCAAAACAAGUCUACAGCCAGCUUAACUGCCCCAGCCAUAAGUAUUUUCACUUCUCCAGAAACAGCUCUGCCAGGCAUAGGCCUGCUGAGACAGUGUACACUUCCCUACUUCUGAACUCUGACUCCCAGAUCAUAGACAAAGAAACAAAAGGCUAACUGGAGUCUGCUCUGAGCUAUGUGUCUUUGAAUGGUGGUUACUCUGGAAACACGGAGGUAGCAGCUCUCCAAAGCAAGGGGUUGAACCAUUGCUGAAGGCCUGAGCGAGAAGUAGUCCAGACAGUGCAUGAAACGCUGGGUCAAGGAAAGAUUUUCACCCAUAUUCUGUUUCAGAAGGUUAGGUAGCAACAGGGAUGAACACGUGACAACCAAAAAAUUAAAAGGCGGCACAAGUAUGUGUUUGAAAUUCUCUUUUCAUCAUUUUAAUAUUCACCUUCUAAUUUGCUCCAUCUCCUUAUCUCUUUAUGUGAACCUUGUCUCAGGAAAAGGUAAGAAAAAUGAAUGCACCAGAUGAUUCAGAUGACUUCCUAUUCUGACACUUUGCAAAGAAAGUAGUGUAUAGAUGUUAUCUGUACAAGGUGAACUUCACCUUGUCUUUCACCACCCGAUUUCAAAAAUAAUAGAUUUAUAAGAUUUCUGUUAAUGUCACCCUUUUCAGCUUGGUUUUUGUUUUUCAUUUUAUCUCUGAACUUGUUACGGUUGCCUAGAACUUAUAGUUCCAGAAUAGUUUAGAUCAUGAGGAAAAAUCAAUUGUUAAUGUUACUUUAACUGCAUCCCUAUCAAUCAGAAACAAAGUUUGGCAUUGAACUGUAAUUUUCAGCUUUACAGCAGUAGUGUACAUCAAAAGUUAGCUUGCUCUGAUGUUAUAAAAAGUUUUCAUGGGAGAAAGAAGUCACAAUUCCUUGGGAUAUUUAUAGUAUUUAAGAAUGCUUUUAAGUCACUUGUAAUGGCAGAUGCCAUUGGGUACUCUGUCAUAACUGGUUUCCUUAUUCAUAACAAGUAAUGCAUAUUGUAGUACAUUUCAAACCAGGCCCACAUUAAACUUUGUAGAAAAAAUAAAGACCAUGUCUGUAUUACUGUAUGAAUUCCAUUUGGAUCUUGUUAAUGCCAUGUUGUGCUUUUUGUUUUGAAUACAGACCUUAAGUGGGGUUUUUAGCUGUCAAUUUGAUUGUAUGGAUUUCAUGAUGGAUAUCACUGGAUUAUUUCCCAAGCUCCAACACAGGUAUCAAUGGCACAUGCUAAAUGGUGUCACCAUUGGGUAGAUAAUGGGCUUGUUACAACAGAACUAACCUUUGAAUGGCUUGGACAACAAGCCUGCAGAGUAAGAGCCCUGCUCUUAGAAGUGCUGGCUCGCUUCUCCCUUCCACAUGCUACCUCCUCCUAUCUCUACACAGCCUCUCCCCAGGAGUGCAUUCUCUUCCCCCAGGGGAUGUAGCUGUGGAUUGCUGCCCCUGCAAACAUUGAGAGGGCUACAGUGCAUCCUGGCUUGGAUUAAAAGAGCAAGAGGGAUUUGGAGGACCGCUGGGAACUCAGAAGGGCUGGGAUACCUCUUCUGGAAUCUAAACAAGCUCCAGUCACUGGUCCAGAAGAAUCCCAGUCAUAGAGUUAACAGUUGUCAAUGUGCUGGAAAGACAAAGUUAGAAAUUACUAACCUGUGAUAGGAUCAAUUCGCAACACCACAAAUCUUCCUAGAACAGGAUCAAGAAGCAUUCUAACAAAAACUGCCAGAUUUGGUAAGAUUUUGACUUUUCAUUCCAGCUCCUCCAGAUUAGAAAGCCCUGCUCCCUUGGAAAUGACAGUGGCUUUUCAUACAGUAUGGGUGAGGCUCCUAGCACUACUACAAGAGUUUUCACCGUCUUUCACACAACACAGUUCUGCCCUGUAUGCAUCAGUCCUUCUGGCUGUCUCCAGACUUACCUUUGCUUCUAGCCCUGAUCCCUUCCAGCUUCUGCUCUUCACCAUCCAGUCAUAAUAAUCUCUUUAAAUAUGUAUGCUCAGUGGCCAGCUUUUCUUUUAGAAUGCCUGUGGUCAUUGAUUUUUCUAAAUUACACUGUAAUGGGCAAGUAACAAAAGUGAUGAGUGAUUUCAUAGCUGUUGAAAAACUUCCAAGAAAAUAAAUUUGGAACUUCAGGGGCAUGUAGAUAGAACUAAUUACAGUCAUCAUUAAAUAGGUUAAAAAAUAGGUCAGUCUUCUUUCAUUUCUACUCUUUCCUCAGCCAUUUAACAUCACAUGUGAGGAUUUUAAUUUUGUAAGUUACACAGCUCCCUUUAUCAGAUGUUCUCCACCAUCUCAUAAAAAUCAAAGAGCUUGGACUGGAAGCUUCUCACAUGUUGAGGCCUCUAGUCCAAACCCCAUCUUAAGGACUGUUAGUAUGAUCCACACUGGGAGGAUGUAGCUCUGCUGAUUUCUGAGUGGGUUUUUCCCUUGUUUUUUAAUUUUAAUACAUUUAUGUAGAACUAAGCAGAUAAGACUCUGUGUGGUGUGCCUCAACAUGCCACUUGAGUCACUCUGGCUUCAUCACAGCACUGAAUUGACACCCGUCUUAGUUUACAGAUCUACUUGUUGCUGCUGAGUCCUCCCUACCACAAUCAUUCCACAGCCUCGUAACUCAACAACCUGUCCUUUUUCCUGUCAACACAGCUUUCCUCUAAAGAAUGCUGUUGACCAAACAAAUACCUUCAAAGAGGAUGAGACAGCUAUUGCAUGUGUAGCUUUUUUAAAAAGUCAGUCAUCUACUGAGGUGACGAGAAUUUGGGGAAUUCUGUGUUAUAAAUACACGGAUGUUUACAGUACAUGUAUGGCUUGCUUGUAGACAAAGUCAGCACCCAGGAGACUUCGGCAUAUAGAUGGAAAUAUAAACAUGUGAUGUUUAGUUCUGUCCUAGUGAAUCGUGUACCAGACACAGAGACUGGAGGUUCUGAGGAUUAUUUUUGAACAGUCAGGUGUUUGAAUACCAUUUUAAAUGCUCUAGAUGAAGCAAAGACUGGAAAAGGCAGAUUCUGGUGGCAAAGGAACCCUUUAUAUUGCUGCUAGCCUACAGUUUCCACUUACUGCCUUUGAUUAUUCUUGAAUUGUAUAUUUGGUAUGGCUUAUUCAGGUGUUUCUCAAGGACAAUGAGUGUUUUGUUUCAGCAAAGUGUAAACGUUACCAAAAGAGUGACUCCUAGAAAGUAACAAUUAAGUACAGAAAUGUAGAUUUCAUUUACAGGAAACUAUUUUUAAGAUGUAUCAUCACUCAGAGAAUAGACUUGGGUUGGUAUAAGCUAAUUAUUAAUGGCUUUCUGAUGUUAGGCAUGGUAUAGAUCUAAGUGUGAUUAAUUUAGCAGGAAUCCUGCCACUCUUUGGUGACAAUGACCUUGAGUCUUCAACUGAAAAAUAGGAACACCUUAGCAAGAGAGUAGCUAUUCUGAAUAACUGAAGUAAAAUACUAGAAAAUUUCAGGAUAAAUGGAAAGAGCAGACCUCAGCAUGAGUAAUUAAGAAGAACUACAGUUGUCAAGAUUUAAUUUUUAUGCAAAAACUGAGAAGCUUAAAAAAUCCUUAAUGUUACAGUUACCAUUUUCCAUCUUCUGACCACCUUAUUUCUAGGUGAUGGCAUGAUUAACUAUGGAGGCAGCUCAAAUUUCUUUUAAUACUGCUUUAUUGCUAGCAAUGCUAUCAGCCCUAAGAGAAUCUCUAAACAUAGUUUUCAGCCUAUUACUACAGGAAUAAUUUGUUUCUCAACUGUUACUUUGAAACAUAUUGAUUUUUCAGCCUACACAUGUUUUUACUUGUUUGUGAUCUUAUCUUACUUAAAUUUCAGAACCACACAAUUCACUGCUAAGAUAAAGAAUGCAAAAUUAUUCACCCAGUUUGGCUGCAGACAAACAAAUGGAACUCAACACAAACAAAGGGAGUUGUAUCCAAGCAUUAUUUGCCUGAGUUCUUAAUAUUUCAAUACUCUGUGGAAAAAGCAGGUUGGAUAACAAGCUGUUUUGACUUCACUUCCAGUACACUUUCUGGUUUCUCUAGUCUCCAAAGCCAAGAAUCCAGUCUAAAGAUGCCACAAAGCUUCAGCAUGCUAAAGGCAAGACAGUGCCGUGUUCUUUUUCAAUCUUUGUUGCUACACUUUGGAAUAAAAUACAAGUUUUGCUGUAGUUUAUAAAAUAAAAGCAGUCUAAGAUGUUACCUAAAUCCUCUACACUUAUUUCAUAUAUGAUUUAUGCUUAGAGGAAAGCACGUUGAGCUGGAACUGGUUACAUUUGCAUUUUCUGCUGAAACAAGUUCUGAGCUUGAAGCUUGUCAUUGGAAGCAUCCUGCUUUGACAAAUUUUUAGCAAUCAGAGCUGAAGCCUGUCUCCCUAAAAUGGGGCACCACACCCAGCAGGUCUGUGGUCUCCAAGCUGCUGGCAAAUGGCAUGUGCAUAGAGCGUCCAGAUCAUGCAUCUCAAUAGCAGCUGACACAGCUUCCACAAAGAACAACUGUGAUUUUUCUAGGAAAAACUCAAGCCUUGCAAGUGUCCAUACUGACAUGAGACUGUUGCUCCACUGUUAUGUAGGGAAUGGAACCAGCUUUGUAGAAAGCAGCCUCUUGACUGCUCUGAGAUAUUGAGCUGGCAGUUUGAAAGCCAACCUCCCGCAGCCCCAGAAACAUCCUGAGAGCCUGCAAACCUAUCUGUGGCCCUGUGUGGAACUGCACUUUCUAGCUAAGUAAAAUCUUUUUGAUUCAUCAAGUCCAUUUGUAGCAACUUGUUUGCAUCACUACCAGAGAGGACACAAUCUGACUUUUUGAACAGCUUUUGUUUGUCCCUAGCAGGCCUUGAUACUCUUUGCCCAUGUUAUGCAAGGCUGCCCUAUCCUACAUGUGACAGAAUUGUCUGGCAAGAUCUACCACCACCUUUCUUGUUAGACAGGGCCACUCUUUCAGUGCCAACUGAAUGGAAAGUGUUUGUCAAUUUCUCUUUUCUUUUAGUUUCCUCUGCACAGAUCUGGAGAGUUCCUGCCUACAAAUACUGGCCUUUUGGGUACUUGGGAAACUACUGUCUUCUACUGGGAUCAUGUUUUCAAGUCAUAUUUUGCCGUGGAAACAGAGGGGUUAUAAAGGACCUGAAUUUAAUUUUUCUGCAUCAGCAUCUCAGUCAUCCAUUUAUUUGACCAGGUGGAAAACCUUCAUCACAAAAUAAAGGCUGCAGUCUACAGUGAUGGUUUCAGAGAAAGCAGGAUCCCAAAGCUGAAAGGAUGACAGUGUAAUCGAGAUAAGCAAUCUCUUCCAAAUCAAAAUAAGUAGUGUAGUGAUAGCCACCAAAUAUGAUAUGCAAAUUUUCAAGUGUUACUAUAAAAACUUUUUCAGUCAAUUCUGAAUGUGUUUCAGACUGGUCUAUGAAUCAAAAAAUAUUUAUUAAAACAGAGACUAAAAUGUGUGACUGAAUUCCAGACAUCAUAGAAUGAUUUUCAAGAUGUUAUUCAAAGCAAUGGAAUAUGUAUUUAUAAGCAAGCUUAAUCUUGACUGCAUUUUGAAUGAAAACAUUUGGAAAUUCAUACUAAUGCAUUUUUUUAUUAUACUUUAAUUUUUUGCAGUAUUCAAAAAAAGCGACUGAAAAUUAAAGACUGCAAUCCUGCAAAUAUCACCAUUAACUUUAAUAAAACCACCAGCAUGCUGUUAGGGACUGCUAAAUACCAAGGAUUAAUAUAUGUAGAUUUUCUUAAAAGUCUUUAUGAACCAGUACAAAACUAUGUCAGCAUUAACAAAGAAAUAAUUCCAAUUUUUCAAGAUGCUAUCGAAAUUAUCAUGAAUUUCUGAAUAUACACAUCAAUCAAAACAACCAGCCAAAAAAAAUGAAUGUUUUGGGAAAGACCAGACCUUUAUUUGACAAUAUACUACACAGAAAUGCUUAGAACUCCCUGAAAUGGAUGUAGAAGAUUCACUGUGAACAGCUUGCUGUGCUUUUAAGAAGAGACAAAGAGAAUUCCCAAAAAAAUCACCAUGUGUUUCACAGCCCCCAGAGAACACCGAAAAAAAGACUUUAGAAAUGUUUGUCCAGAGAGAGUACAUAGUUUCUAUCAGCUUUAGUAAACCUUGUAAUAAGUCUCAUUGUAUUAUUUUAAAGAUUAUUUAAGAAACUUCAUCUAUAAUAGAAGUUUACAGUACUGUUAUUCCUGAGUAAGAAUUACUAAUUUCUUGGUGCUGAUGAUAUACGUUUGUUAAUUGGAGAAUGGUGAUCAGAGAGAAUGCCAGAAAUAAUUUUUUUAAUCUUGUGCUUUGCUUAGUCCUCUUUCCUCUUUUGGGUGAAAGAUUAGUGGUAGCAUUUCAUUCUUUGUCCUCACUACUCCAUGAAAUUAUUAUUUUGUGUGUGAUUAUCUUUCAGUCCAGUUUGUACCUCACUCAUGACACAAGGGUGGUAGGAACAGUCUGUCACAAGGCAAAGGGAAAAAAAGCUAUAGAAGGACUAUCUAAGUGAAAAUGUUUGAAAGUCAAAGGGAGGGCAUGUUUAACUUCACAAAAGAAAAUGCUGGUUUCUGUUGCAAUGUUGGUUACACAAUCACAUAAGGUUUUAUUUUUAAAAGCAAGUAAAAAAAUUAUAGUGCAUCAGCUUCUUGACUGAUGUAAAUCAAGAUGGUUUUAUUGACUUUGAUGGAGCUAUGUCGAUUUAUACCAGAUGAGGAUUUGGCCUACUGUAUGGAGAUAUUUUUAUUUCUCUUCUCACUCUAUCAGUUAAGGAAAGGGUAAUAAUCAGCAAGCUGGAAGCAAUUAUGUGUGUGUGAGGAGGGGGUAGUUUCAUAAUAGCUAACUUGAUAUUAUUUCCUGUAAAAUGCAUCAGGAGAAUAAAGCCUGGAGCCUGCUGACCAGUUUGUUUUGUAAAGAAAUAUUUGUUCAAAUCUGUUUAUAAUAAUUUGUCAAAUUAUGGGCAAACUCAUCUGAAGCACUUGCCUUCCACUGACACCAGAGGCAGCAGUUCUGGACCUGAUCAGGCACCAAGUGACACCCAUGGGGGAAGACCCAGGCAAAAUUUGGCUUCCACAUCUGUGUAAGUCUGGAAUAAUUCUACCAAAAUCAGUGGAAACAUUUUCUAUUUACAAGUGUGCCUAAAAGCAAAAUUUGGCACCAUCUUCAACUGAGCAUUUAUAAGCUGUUUCUGGCAACAAAUAAGGAUGGGGGAGGGGGAGAUUAUUCAUUGCAGAUGCUUUGUAAGAUUACUAGAGGCUUUCUGGUGACAAUAAAGUCUACUAACAUAGCCACUUCUGGAAAAUGCUUUUGAAAAUGUGAUUUGAGGGAGUUUCCUGUUAUCCUUUAAUUCUUAGAUCGUUUCAUGGGGGUAAAAAAUACUAACCAAGACCUCAAGUGAAAUCACUUAAAUUGUUCUCCUUACCAUGGUGAGGCAAGAUGAGUCCCAACCUGCAAUACCAAGUGGACUAAAGCAAUUCAUGGGAAGCUAAGAUUUCUAAGAAACUGUCUUGGAUGAAUGAAUGCAUUUCAUAAGGUGCAGUUUAAUUAUUGUUAAGCAGCCACACAUUGACAAGAGAGCUGAAGACAAAGUAAUCACAAUGAAAAUAAAUGGAAAGAUUUAUGAAUUUAUUUUUAAGUUACAAUGCAGAUUAUUCUGAAGUACCAACAUCAGCACUAUAAACACUAAAGUAUUCCUACCAGCUUUUGCAAUAUAGCUCAUUCAUCUGAUCUCUUUGCUCUCAGGAAUGAUUUAAUUUUUUGUAACGUUUUUAUCAUGUUUUAACUUAAUAGUGUAAAUAAAGUGACUUCCUGCCCUGCUAGGGUGAACACAGUUCUAGUAGGCUAACUGUGCUUUCAGCACUAUAGCUUAUACCCAUAUAGCCACCUCUUUCUGAACUGAUCUAUAGGUAAAUGAAUCCCAAAACCAGCAUGUAGGUGAACCCUUAAGUAAUAGCAGACAACUCAUAAAAGAGUGGAAAAUAUGCAGUUCAAAAAUUAUUUUGCAUAAAUGCAGCUCUUGCCUGAACUAGGGAGAGCCCCAAGGAGCUGGGCAGCCCUUCCUCCCUGCACUGGCCCUCUCCAGCCCUCCCUGCUGUGUCUCCCUGGGAAAGGUCAGGUAGCCUAUUAAUCAAGCUCUGGACUUUGAUUUGAAGUAUGUAUACGUCUACCACUUCCUGGAUCCUUUUGAAGCAAGGAAGAGGCAGCAAAUUUCCAGUGAAGGUUUGCUUAUUUUGGGAUUCUUUUUUUAAUAGUUUAAAUGCAACCACCUUAAAACCAAAAUAAGAUAAGGCAUCGUUUCAGUUAGGACAGGUGAUGACAUUCUCACACUGAAUUUAAAUCCACCUUCCUGUAGUGAAUAUGUAACUUUACGUAUAAAGUAAUGCCUGGUUUAUUCUGUGUGCUGCUACAAUGCAUCUUUCACCCAUUUUCUUACUCAGCUUUUCAGCUAUGCAUGGAAAUUCAUGGGGUGUUUUUUCCUAGUAAGUUUCAAAUUUAUAUGCUGUUCUACACUGAAAAAGACAAGUGUCAAGUGGCAAGGUCAUUAUCAUUUUUUCUAGUGAGAACAUAGAAUAGAAAAAUAAAUGCACUAAUGUAACCAGCAGCUACAUUGACUGACUGAAUUUCUAUGAUUACAUCUGUGUACAUAGGGGCAUGUGUUAUACAUAUAAAAUAAUUAUUCUAUUUUUUAUAAAUGCAUGCACUCAAUUGUUUUUACAAUUUAAUAUAUUGCACAAAAUAUAACUGCUUACAGACAGUAUUCCUAGAAUCAAUACCACAAAAUCAAUUCACACUAAGAAUAAUUUAAAAGGAUGAGAAAACUUUGAUUAUUUUUCUGCUUAGGUUUCAGAUCUUUACAGAAAAAAAAAAAAAAGCUUAAAAGAUCUCUUUCAAACAUGGUGUAUGCUGUAAAGAUUAUGUCCCAGCUAAUUUUGACGUGGACAGAGGUUAUGACUGAAGUCAGGAAUACAGAGAAGAUUAAAUUCUAAACCAUGACCCUAUUUUCAUAGAAACAUAUUAAGGAAACAUACCAUAGAAUGACAUACCUAAAACAAAGCAUUUCUAAGUAAGGCAUCUGUCAGAUUUUUCCAUGAGGUAUAGGCAGUUUAUGAUGUACAGUGAUGGUCAGAUUGCUGCAUUUUAGUAUUGCUCAGCUUUCAGGGUAAGAGUGGUUCAAAGCCUGAAGAUAAAUUUCAGAGAUAAGCUGAACAGUAGCCAGGAAAAAGGUUACUAUCACAAUAGUAAUAGGUUUAUAUGUGUCAGCUAACUUGAGAAAAGACUGGAAGAGGUGAUCAUUAAAUCAAGUGAAGCUGGAAUGUAUGAAUGAAUUUGAGUUUGGUGUUAAACUACACAGAGGGUCAGGUACUACACCAAUCUCUAAUCCUGUACAUACUGGAGUUGGUGCUUAGCACAGCAGAAUUCAGGCUGUAAGCACAAGUUCUCAUGGGGAAUAUCUGUGGGAUGCACUGCAUCCCUGUUUUGUCCUGAUCAGGGACCAAGAUAAUCCUCUCACUAGGCAGAACUGAAGUCUGCUGAGAGAUCUCUAAAAGCCACCUCUUGGGGUCCUGCAGGAAUCACUGCUCAUCGGUGAUUGAGGCUUUGUUCACUUGCUGUUACCCAGAUGCAGGAGAGAACUGACCCAAGUACCAGCUGAACUCCCUAGCCAGGAAGGACUCGGGUAAAAAAUGACAAAAGUACCAGAUUUGCCUUUCAAGUGCUCUAGCCUUCUGAGAAGAAAUAUUAAUCAUAUCUUUACUGUCUAAAAUAGAGAAAUAGAGUUCAGCUAUUCUGAGGUAUAUUUGUAAGGUUCUGGAGGCCUUACAAAGUUUUUGGGGGGUUAUUUUUUCAUUGGUUAGUUGGGUUGAUUUUUCUUUUUUUUUACUACACAUGUAAUUAACUGGUUUACCAGUUAGAAAUAAAUCUUUGCAAGCAAGAGGCAUCUACCUUUUUUCAGUCAUCAUGUUCCCACAGGUAUUAUGAAGACUGGAAGAAAUAGGGCUGGAAGGGAUCUCUGAAGAUCAUCUAUUCAAGCACAGGCUGAAAUAGCAAAGAUCAAAUUGCUGGAAUAUUAUCUAUUUCUACUGUGCAGCCUGAAUCUGACUCUACUACAAGGUUUUACAAAAAGAAUUAGUGUGGGGCUUAAGAGUUCCUCGGGAAGAAAUACAAACGGAAGUGUAAGUAACAGGAUGACUUCUAAAAUGCUGUUGCUCAGCUUGGCCUCCAAUUGAGUAUCAGUUUAGGAUAAUUUUUAAUUAAAAAUUUAAUUUAAUUUGAUUAGUCUGGUUCAUCCAGACUAACUGAAAUUUAAGUAGCUAGUGUCAAGGCCCACAGAGCCCGAGACUAACUACAAUCUAAUUACUAGGCUGGAAUUUUUUAAUUACUACAGAUAAGAGUAUUGGGGAAAAACUGUCAUGAUUCAGAGUUCAGAAACCACAUCCUCCCUAUUUUCUGGCCAUCCCACUCAGUCUCUGAGAGGGAGUGUUCAGAGUGGUAUAAGUGAAGGCAGAUAACCACAUCCCCAAUCUGCUGUCAUCCUCAGACAGAAUUUCUGAUGAUUAUCAUAACAUAUUGAUAACUCUGCUUACCAAAGACAAGUGAUGAAAUGAAAGAAGGUUUAAUUAACCUCACUUGUCAACAGGUGCCUUCACUAUAAUUACUCGUAUUUGGCCUUUUGCCAACAGGCAAAAUUUUGAUUAGCUUUUUAGCAAAAUUCUGCCAUGUCUCUACUUAGAAAACUCAAGAUGAGUCAGCUAAAAUGGGUAAAAUUUAAGACAUCUUAAACUCUACAUAGAUCCUCUCAUUCAAGAGCAAAGGGUCUGCAAAACUCUGACAUAUCUCCCCUUCCCGAGGUAUCAUAGUCACAAAAUAUUAAUCUCUUUUUUCCCAGGUAGCAGAGCAGGAUUCGGUAUUUGUGAGGGAUGUUCUCAUUUACAGCUUGGUGUUUUUGCACAAGCCCACCAUUAUAACUGACUUAAGACAAAACCCAGCUCUGUGAACAGGAAUGGAUGAGGUGUAUUACCCAUCUUGUUCCACCCUGCAGGGAAGAGUAGCAAGUUGGUUAUGCUAAUGCACUGAGCUGCUUGGCUAGAUUUGGCAGAAGUGCCUAUCCAAGUUUUUGGUUCAUUAUGAGCAGAUCCUACUAAGUAGCAUCAAACUAAAGCCUCUUGAUUUGUACUGGAAACCUCCAUCUUGGGACUGAAUGCAUUUUAAAGGCCCUGACAGAUGGGCUCUGCCAAACUGAACAGCAGCAAUCUGUAAUGCUUUACCUCCCCCAUGUCUGCUGUGCUCUCUCCCAGUGCCGUCUGUCCCAGCAGCAGGGGAAACAGGAGCAGAUGCUGAUAAGGGCAAUUUCGCUGCAGGGUCUGGCCUGUAUGGUCUGAGACAGCAAGCCCCUGCUUUGGCCACUGCUAGUGCAAGGACUCUGGCAGUGAGGUGGGGAAAUGGGCGGCAGACAAUGUGUAACCAUCACUGCUAAACCUGACAAGGCUCCACCAGGAUGUCUCACACUUAGCUGAUUUGCCAAAACCUGCUGCAGCUGCCUCGUGUGGCACCUUCUUCACAUGCAUAAUAAUUUGACCACAGUCAAAGUUUUUGCUUAAAGCAAAGAAUAAGAGAGUGCUGCUACAGUGCAGGAGGAGAGCAGAAUGUGUUUUAAAGUCCUUUCACAGCUUUGAUCUAAAAGCUUUUGGGUUCCAGUUAAACCCAUUUUGCCCUGCCAGCAGCAAUCCUCACAGGAACACAAACAAGAACCCUGUCUCCUCCCUCUUGCAACACUCACACCCUUUGUGUCUGGGCUUACCUGCCAAAUUUUGUGCAUCUCUGUGUCUGGCACCUAUGCAAAUUAAGCAAUCUGUAUCUAAUGUAUAUAUUGUCAUAAAUAUGGUUUCUGAAAAAAACACUGGUAGAGGUGGUUAAAAGUGUUAGGCUGAACCUUGGUUUUGCAGGGAGAGCUCCUUCAAAGACCAGGGUCUGAGUGUAGUGGAGAUGGGAAAGAGCCUUCUUGAUAGCCAGUCUGGAAAGCCUUUCUGUGAAAAACACAGGUAACAGGUGCACUCAGUGGUUCUUAUGGGUCUCUUCCAGCUCAGGAUCUUCUCUGGCCAAUGAGCACAGCAGUGGAAUACCAGAACUAUAGAGGGCUGUACCCCAUGGAAGGAAGAGUGUUAAACUGCUAUCCCAUGCUAUGCAUUCCUUAAGUGCUUCCAGUCUUCUGCUGGCUCCUUGCUCCCUCUUCCCCCAAAUCCACCUCUUUCUCUUCACUGAAUGCCCAGUGCCCUAAAACUGUCCUGGGAAGAGGAGCACACAGAGGAGAAAGGAAAGGCUGUCAGCUGUCAGCAGAAAGUCCAUCAGCUGUGCAUCACCCCAGCUCCCAGAGACAGAUACAUAGACUCCUUGCCUGGAGCAGUCUUCCCCUAAUUCUUUUAGAACAAGCCAUCCUGCUCCUGAUUUCUCCUACUUUUCCUUCUUGCCUUGCUCCUUUCCCACCUCACAGGAAGACUGUUGGGAACCAGCAACCAGGCAAACCAGUUUGGGCAGAAAGAGAUCCCAGUCCAUUGACCUCUGUACUCCAACUUCCCUCACCAAGGGGUGAGGUAAUAGGACAGCUCAUGUACAUUUCUGAAAACAUUGUAGGAAGACUAAAGGAAACAUGACUGGGAGAAGUGGGAUGGUUCGGCAAGGCAGGGGAGAGAAGACAGUGCAGGUCAUGCCAGAAGCAAAGUGGGAAUUUAUGGGAAGAAGUCCUCACUGACUUAGCAAACCCAAUGGCUGCAGCAACAGACAGAUGGCUGCCCAGGGCUGUGAGUGAUGGAAAGGGCUCAGCUGUGGUGUAGUGCUAAACAGGGCUUAGCACCAGGCUCAGGUCAUUAUUGGGUCUGGAAGCUUUACCUCCUUUCUGGGGCACUGAGCAGUGUAUGACUGCUUUUCCCACCAGACAGGCACCAGGCUGCCCUGGUGAUGCUGAGAAGUUUGCACCUUGUUUCUCCUGUACUGCUCCUUACAGCAAUAAGGUGAGCCCAUUGUCAUGCACUGGAAAAACUUGUUUUGGAGCCUAGAUAUCUCUGACAGUUAAUUUAGGCUGUGAGCAGGGACGUCAUCCACAUGUACAGGAUGUUUGUCUGCUCUCCUCUCUGCCAAGGUCCUCCAUUACUAUUAAGGCCUGCAUGGGGAGGGGACAGAAUUAGUUUCUGCCCGGCUCUGUCUGCUCCAUUCCCUCCAUGCCCUUUGCAGCCACUUGCAGGAAGGAUGAAGGAAUAAUCCCAAAUCUGGAUACUGUAACACUGUAGCUACGAGACAGUAAAAUAAAAGAAAUCCUUAUUACUGAAAGGCCCUUAGCUCUGGGUUGAAUGGUCUGCUUCAAAGUCUCAGUGAAAUACCUCUUUCCAGCUACUAAAUACUCAUCCCUAUUAUCUAUGAGAGCUAAACCAUAUGCACAGUUAUGAUUAAAUGUGGGUGCUGCAACUAACUUCUGUUCAUUCAGAGCACAACUAUCAACACAAAGCAGUAAGUGGUAAGAACAUCCUUCUGUUACAAGAGUUUCAGGGUGGCAUCAACUGUUUUACACGCAAAGUUUGGGUGGAACAAUUGACCAGGAAAGAAAACCCCACUGAAUGAAACUAAACACAGAGACAAAACCAAGAAGAGAAUAAAAAAUGAAUGCAGUGUUGGAUGUUAUAUCAUACAUGUACUGUAAAAGAGGAUCAGUUUGAAAAGGAUUUGGAAAUUUCACAGAAACCAUCUUGUUAUCUAUGUAAGUAAAACCAGACCUAAUUAUCAGGCUGUGCUCAGUCAUGCUGUUCCUGUUAGCAAAGCCCUCUCAGAAAGUGAACAAAAACCAAGUAAUUUUAGGGUUCCUCUUACCUGCAGAAAAAUCUGAGGAUGGAAAGGAAGAAAAUAGCAUUGAGUGGUACUUUCAGCCUUCUAGACAUUAGCUGGUAGUAGAGACCCUGGGACUGCUAACCAGCUCAUGUUUGGCUAUUCUGCAAGUUAAAGUAUUAUUUAAUCAGAGCAAGCAAAGUAAUACAGAUAAUGCAGAAAUCCAAAGGUACCUUAAACCCAUUUUUGUACUUUCUCUCUCAGCCCAUAUCUUUGGCUGUAGCUCAGAGUCUGAGCAUCUGUGCACAAAUUGAUUUAAAGAUACAAGUUCAGAAGUCUCGAUGGUCAGAGUUGAAGGUGGAGAGGCAAAUACUCAGAUGAUGAGAACUGGAGGAAAUUCAGUGAAGUCUUGCAUGCAUGGAGUUACACCAGUAGGCAACCAAACCACUCUUUAAUUUCAUCUAACGAUUCCCAUACUCAGGACCAUCUAACAGGUCAUGAUGCCUCUUGUAAAGGGAAGAUGCUCAAAAUGUGUCAACUUUGUACUGCAGGGAUACUUCAAUUCACUCUGUUACCUGAUGGGAAGGGAUGAGAGGCUUGCAGCAACCUCAUUUGCUGGUGCCAGCUUUCUGGCACCUAAGCUAGCAGGUCUCCUGUUUCCAUGCAUCCCUAAAGCACUGAUUCCAAGGCACCAGCACAGCAAGCCUCACUGCAGAGACACACCAGCAUCUGAAUCAAGGGAUGGAACAGAACACAGGCUAAAAACCUCUGGGCACGAGCUGAGGGUCCUCUCCAAAGCUGUUGCUCAUCAGGAAACAGUAAGCAAGAGCCAGGAAAGUUAGAAAACAAGCCUCUAAGAGAAGCAGAACAUAGCAAAGCUGGCAGCAGCCACAGACAGGCCAAGAGGCAGGAUCACACCAGCAGACAGGAGAAGCUGAAGAGGGAAGAGCCUUGCAGCAGCAGCAGCAUCAAGUGGCCCAAAAGCUGGAUCUGGAGCAGAAGAUGCUGUACUCAGAGUCUGCAUGAAAAAAAAAAAAAAAGCUAUAGCUGAAAGGUAGCUCCCCAGCUAUAUUCCCCAGCUGAAUGUGUGCAAGUGAAAUGGCAGAGGUAGCACUAGAAGCUGGUAUUAACACCAUCACAGCUAAAUGUCAGAAGUAGCCUAGAGAGGGAACUUCACUCUGCAGAAUGCAUAGCUGUGAAAUCCAUCAAGAAAACUGAUGUCUGCUUCUAUUAGUACCACAACAGCAGUUUGACCUAAAUAGUGAUUUCUGUUCAGCAUUGAAAGACAAGCAGGAAUAAGGUCCAAAAUAUGAGUCAUUAAAAAUAGAAAAAGGCCAACAACAUGUACUGUACUCCACAAUCAGCUCCUUCCCAAAAUGGGGCCAAAAGCUGACAUAUUUUGGAUUAUUCCAUAGCAAAUCUUACUGCCACUUCAGAAUUUUUGGCUGACACCUUGAUGACACUGAAUUAGAGUCAGUCUAUGACACAGAGAUUUUAAAUAGACAGUGGUGGUCCUUAUGAAUUUCAGUAAGUGCAUUAAGAAACAGAAUCACAGUAUUGCAACACCAUGUACUCACACAUGGUAGUUUUGACUAUAAAGCCCUUGAAUGCUUGGCAACCCACCAUUGCCUGGUUUACUGUGACCCCUUCAUUGCCUGGCUCUGGUUUGGAUUUUUCUGCUGAUGACCUUUUGAGUUAUUGCCCUGGCAAGAAUGGAGAGCUGACAACGACUACCAGUCACUGGUCCAGUCUUUCUAACAUACUCAAGUGGGAAAGAAUCAGUGGAAAUGCCUGAGAUGCUCCUGUGUAGACUUCUGAGAGUGACACCCUUAGUGCAUAUAUGUAGCACAGUAGUCCAAGAUUACUUGAGCUUACUAGCUCUAAUAAUAAUUUUAAUUGCCACAGCUCCUAACUGAAGUGUACUUACUAUUCAAAAUGCUUUCAAAACUACAAAGCUGAUGUACUUGUUUACUUACAACCUCAGCAUGUACACCUUAUACAGGACUGAGAGAAAACAUAUAGGCAUCUGUGAUCUCUAGGAGAGAAUACUGCUCCACAGCAUCCAACCCUAGUUAGUUGGCAAGCACUUCUGAAACAUCAUGCUUAGUCUCAUUUCAAGAUGCUAAACCUGAUAUUUUGUUAAACCUUCUGUUUAGCUUACUAUUCAAAUUACUAUUUUUUCCUUUAUUAGUUUCUUUGUUCAAACAGUCGGAAGCAUGCAACUCCACCCAAUUUCUUCAUUACACCAGUGCCCUUAAAAUGUUUAUCUGUGUGUCAGCUUGGUGCUUGUAUUCUAGUGUCUGAAAUUGUUUUGCCUGGAAGCUGUCAGUGAUGUUCUGUUCCCCUCCUUUACUCCCCCCCAGUAAAGCGUGUACUAUUUAUCUUCUUACCGUAAUUUUUUAAAAUAGAGAUUAUUUCUUUUAAUAGCUAUGUGUUUUCAUGCUCCCAAUUUUAAGUCCCUAAAAAUACUGACCAUAAAAAGUACACUCAGCAAUCCUACAGCAGACCAUGUGCGUGCAAUUACCUCAUUUACACAAACACAAUAACCACACAAAAUUCAAUGCCCCAUCUGGAAGAUAGGAAAUAUUAUUUCCUUUCUUCUACCUUGUCUGUGUACAUAGCUGACUCUCGAGGAUAAGCAGAGUCUCAUUAUGUUGGUGGAUAUAUAUACACACAUACAUAAUACAUAUGUUCACACAAUACUGCAGAUAAUUGGCACCUGAUUUCUGCUGAGGCUGUGAGCAACUCUGGUAAAUUAUUGUACUUCAAAUUUUAGCAUGGAAUCUCUCGCCAACUUUGCCCAUCCUUGCCAUUUCCAGCUCAGGCUGACAGUUUUGGCUGGUUGCCUUCUCUGCUUGGGUAAACCUGGGGAAGCACAACUGUGCAAAGACACAGAACCUCCCCUCUCCUCCACCUGCCCCAUAGGUGUUUGGUGGGGCUUGAGCCAGGUGAUGGAAAGUAAGCCCUCAUGGCCAUUUUCACAGAGAGAGGGGCAGAUCAGGAGAACUUGGGCCUCUGAUGCACCCUGUGAUGAAUGAAAACUUCUUCCUCUCCUCCUGUCCCACCAAGUGGAAAGAGAAAAGUCUCUGGAGAAGCAUGAAUGCAAAAAUCCCCAAGAUUUCUCCAGCUAAAAUAGUACCACAACUGCAGGAGGAGCUGGGACAUCACACAGGUCAUGCAGCAGAAAAAAAGGGGGAAAGCAAAUGUUUAGUACAGAAGACUAAUAGUGAACUUCUGGGUUUGGAGUUUUAAUAUCUCUUUGUUGGAUGGGGAAUGACUCCAGCAUAUGUUCAUGUAGAGAACUCCUACAUUACAAGCUACAAGGGACUCUGGAGGUGAUCAAUUCUAAGUCUUCCAGCAUACUACUUACCUUGUUCCUGUUGGAAAAGACUCACCCCUAGGGUGACACAAACAUGUCAAUUUUUUAAGAGCUACAAGCUGCACUGAGUUUCUACGCAGGAAUUUUAAAAACAUACGCACUUAAGCAUGAUGUUCUAUCUCUCUUCCUUCCCCAAAACACUGUGCCACAUUAAUCUGGUCUCAAAUAAUGAAUGAGUGGAAGUACAGACAUUUCCAGGAGCAUUUAACAUACAUUUGUUGGAAAAGCAGCACUGCCUUUUUCUCUCACUUAUUUCUACAAAUACAACCCACUCUACUGCAGAGGGUUUGUGACAGCCCAAGGGCAUAUGAGAGGCCAUUUAUUAAAAUGCUGGCAAAGAGUACUGGCAUUGUGCACAUCAACUCCUGCUUCAUCUAGGGUGGACAGGGGGCAACCAGACCCUGAAUCUAUUGUGAGGCCUCAGAGAUGAGACGGAGCAGGGUCUGCUCUUUUCACUGGAGUCCCCACCAGGAAUUCCUGGAGAGUACAAAGCAGCCCCUUAAAAAUGUUUCUGUCAUUAUUCCAGCCUGCAAAGAGCCCUAGAAGCUGCUCUCUGAAGUUACCGGUCACAUUUGCUAGUAUUGUCUUCCAGUAACAGAUAAAACGUGCAGGCUGCAGCCACACUCAGGCACAGCUCCUGUUGCACCACGGGCUGGUCCUGGCACUGGCAGCAGAGAGAGAAAAGACAGCUGAAAAGAAGCAAGAGACAGGAGAAACCCAGGAAAGAGAGGAUACAGAUGACAUCAAGGAAGAGAAAAGCUCAAUCAUUGGCCAAAUACCAUGCAAUUCAGCAGUAGCAGAACUAAGAACAAGGACUCGACAUGCUGAAUAUAUUCUGGCAGCUUCCUCAAGCUUAACAAGUGAAACCUGAAUUGAGGUGAUACACAUGCUCUUGGGAGGAUUUCAGCUGAUGUCUGAGGUCUUCUGAGCAAGCACAGGGAAGAGUGAUUAGCUCCGUUUCACAUGAGGUUUUGCAAACCACAUCACACUUUACCUUUGCUAUCCUUGUGUGUGGGAAUGUGUAACAGGACUGAAGGAGGACAGCUGGAAAAGAGACAAUUACUACCUUCUUUCAUACACUAGUUGUUUCUAGUCUUCAGUAGGUGAGUUAGGCAGCUCAUAACAUCCUUAAGAAUGGCCCUAUGCUCCCUGGCCCUAAGAAGUCAACUUAGGAAGAGGCUUCUACAAGGACAGAAGACUCGUAAAGACAGAAGAAUUACCAUCACCUCUUCUCAGUGAACAUGUCAAUGUGAGGGUUUUAACUAAGGAACCACUAAGGGCAGGGGAGGAAAACACACAUUUCAGCAGCUUGAACUCACCUCUUGAAUUUCUCCUGAUGUCUAAAAAAGACAGGGGGAGCUUCCCUUUUGCACCCUCUGUUCCAUAUGAGCUCCAGAUGCGUGCAUGCUAUUUUCAGAGUCAGAGGAUACAGAUGUCAUUAAAUAUGCUGGUGAUCUGCUCCAGUCUAUUGAAAUUUUUUUAAUCUGAGAUCAACACCCAAAAAAGUAUUUGAAGACUCAGCAUGAAGAGGGGAAACAACUACAAUGAAAGUUGUAGUUCCCAUAUUACCAAAACAAGGUGCAGGGUACAGAUCAUAGCCAGCAUCAUGAGCCCUAAGUCCUGACAAUUGAUUUGGGAUAUCUUGCAGGACCUCUGGAAAAAGCAUAAAACAUUCCAACAUGGUGUUUUCUGCUCACAUGGUAGUAGGGUUAUGAAGUAGCUUUUUAUGACCCAUUCAGUUUUCCUUUUAUAGCAGCCUAUUUAUACACUCAAAUUCAGUCACAGCUUCCACUGUACUGAUUACUACAGUGCUCAUUUCCUCAUUCUGAACUGAGCAUGCAUUUCUUUUCUUCAUUUUUGUUCUCUCCUUAUUAGAUCUAUUAACCUUGCAUUACUCCUCCACCCUGUUGCUUAGCCUCUCCUAGGCUUCUUUUCUAGGGGCACUUGUCUCACUGACAACUAAGUAACCAAUAAAAUAAAAUGUUUUAAGAAAAACUUUUCAUCUUUUUUUCCAUUUUUAAAUGCAUGAAGAAUAGAUCCAACACAGUAUUUGAGCAGCGGCUCAGUAUCACUUAAGUUACAACAUCUUCUUCCACUCUGAACAGGCCAUGAAAGUAACACUUCUUAAAACUCACUAUGCUUUCUACAGUCCCAUUUAGUUACUGUGUUGGUGAGUGCCUAAAGGCCACUGAUCCUAUUUGCUUACAUCAUGUAUUAUCAAAGUCACUGACCUGUACAUCAUUUGAAGACUGAAAUCCAAUUUGAUGUUUUCCCAUUUACACCAGACAUAAGUUGUGCAGCAAAUGUUUUAACAAUGCUUCUAAAUUCACAACACACUCAGUCCAAAACUCCUGAGUUAAUAUUUUUGCACUUGGGAUUGUUAAUGUUUGCUAAAACCUGAAACAUUCUUCAGCUGACUAAAAGCUUUACAUCCUUAGAAUAUAAAAUCUAAAUAUAAAUGUGGUGGGCGUAUGUGGAUCUUUUCUCCCUGAGGAGGCUCUGUUACGAAUUUCCACUGUUUUACGCCACCACCAAGUCUCUUCUAAGCUGUGACACCUGUUCAGAAUUUUCAGCUUCUUAACCCUUUAUUAUACUUCCUACCAUCUGCAGCAGAAGUGCAGGAAAAGAGUUCCAUCAUCCUGGACUUGCUGUAUUAAUUCUCCAUGACUCCUUGGUGUCCUUCAGUAUUUUAUAUUAAUACCCACCUUAAGGACAACUAACUAAAUAGAGGAACUUGCCUCCCUCAUAACAUAUGCCAGUAAAUAAUCAGGCUAUCAAGCAGACUCUGGGAAGAAAACCUACAAAUUCCAUAGGAGGAACACCAAAGAUAAUACUAUUAAUAAAUAUUAUUACUGAUAAUAAUAAAUGGUUUAUACAAAAAUGAAACAGCACCAUAACUUUCAUGUAACAUUAUGCUAAAUACAUUCUUAUAAUUCACAUUUACAAGGAUUCCCUAUUCUUAGGUUUGAUAUAUUUAGCAAACAUUGGCAGUGCACAAUGCUACUGACCAAAAGUUCUUUAAGCAUUACUAUGCAGAUGCUCUUUUUAACAUUUCUGGAAAAGACAAACCAUGAGGAUAUCUCCUAGUUAAAAGUCAAAAUACCAUGU